GUAAAUAAAAUGAUUGGAAAUAGAAAAGUUACCCCCCAAACAGCACCAUGCUAUAUUUCAGAUGUUUCUAAGUUCCUACUUUACACUAGCAACAUGAUCCACAUAAGAAGCACAUGGGCUUUGAAGGCAGAGCGACAAACCUGGGUUUCUACCCUGAUUCAGUCACUUCUGUGCUCUGUAAGUGUUCUAUUAAAAGAGGACCCCACUGCCAUAGAAAACCCUGGAUCUAUGAAGACAUCAAAGACAAAGACCUAAUUUUUCUCUCAAAAAGUGAAACUUGAUUUCCAUUCAAUAUUGAAUUUGAUGUUUAAAAAUUCUGAAGUAUGUCAGAGCUGAAGUUUAUCUAUGCUAUUUUGUACUGGAUACAUCUACUAGUGUGACAAAUUAGGUGUUUUCCCAGAGUAGCAGUUGUCUGAAUUCAUCUGCAUGAAGGAUACAAACAGGUAUGUUUUCAGAAUAUUGUCAGAGUGGUCUUAGCUUUUCAAAGCAGUUUCUCCUAUACCAUUUUGUUAGGGGAAGCAUAUUGACUGAAACUGCCCACCCUGGCCAGGCACCAUAGUAACUAUUUGCAUGAGUUAUUUUACAAUAGGAGGUCCUGGUAAGGAACACAGAACUAAUAAGCCACCACCAACCAGAAGAGUUCGGGAAAGGUCAAAAGGAGACACCACAUGUCCGACCACCUCCCAGAAUCCUCCUCUCUGGCAUCCAUCUUGGCUGAACAAGGCGUGCACCACCAGGAAGGACUCUGAGUCGGAAUGAUUAGCUAAAGACAACCCGGAAACUAAUCCCAUCACCAUAAAACCUGCAAGCUGUGUGGCAGAGCUGUUCUCCUGGGUUCCCUUACCCUACUGCUCUCCACCCGGGUGCCCUUUCCCAA
ensembl:lncRNA